UAAUACGGAGGGUCCGAGCGUUAUCCGGAAUCAUUGGGUUUAAAGGGUCCGUAGGCGGGAAUCUAAGUCAGUGGUGAAAUCUUGCAGCUCAACUGUAAAAUUGCCAUUGAUACUGGAUUUCUUGAAUUAGUGUGAAGUGGUUAGAAUGUGUAGUGUAGCGGUGAAAUGCAUAGAUAUUACACAGAAUACCAAUUGCGAAGGCAGAUCACUAACACUAUAUUGACGCUGAGGGACGAAAGCGUGGGGAGCGAACAGGAUUAGAUACCCUGGUAGUCCACGCCGUAAACGAUGGAUACUAGCUGUUGGAGAGCAAUCUUCAGUGGCUAAGCGAAAGUGAUAAGUAUCCCACCUGGGGAGUACGUUCGCAAGAAUG
rnacentral:rRNA from 1 species